CUACAGAGAAACCCAGGCUAAGGACCUUCAGACAGCACCCUCCCCUGCCUCUGCGAAGUCCGUGCUAAGAGGCUGAACCUCCAAGUGUUCCCUGUUCCAAGCAUCUCCAGCUGCUUCCCGGGGCGGAAGCCAACGUCGCCCGUGUCCCUCUCGGCUCUGGGUAAGAGGCAGGCAGGGGGUACGCAGAGCCCACUCCGCUCAGGCCGCUGGUGGAGAGAGUUCUGGUGGGCGCUCCUGCGCACAGCUGCACAGCUCCCCGCCGCUUCUCACCGCCCCACAGACGGCAGCCCUGACGCGGCCCUCCUGCGAGCCCCUGGCCCCAGACACCGCGCGGACCGCUCACCCGCGGCAGGCGGGCGCGUAGGAAUCACGUCACUUCCGGCCACGCGCAGUCCGCACACCGGAAGUCACUUCUAACAAGUCACGGUGUGUCCGCUCCUCUGCGGUCUCUUCCCGGCUGCCAGGAUUGUAACCCCUGUUGCCUCGUGCGGGCACUCGGAUCCGGACGUGGAACCUGGGACGGGGGGCGACCCGGCCGCCAGGGAUGCCGGGAAGGGUGCUGAUGUGGGCGACUCCCAGAGAACAGAGGUCAUUGCUCCCCGAGCACGUUUGCGGUGCCCCGAGCACGUUUGCGGUGCCCCGAGCACGUUUGCGGUGGGGCGCGGGCCGGGAGGGUCGGAGGCAAGCAGCUUGGGCCUCACUGUUCGCUGACCUGCCACGCUCAGCAGUCAGGACGAGCUCCGGAGCCCAGGGAGUCAUCGUUUCCCCUGCUUGGGAUCGAGCAGCCCCGAGCUCACCUCAGCUAGCGUGAUUGAUCUUCAUGGCUCCAAGGCCUGGUAGGAGCUAAGCCCCGUAAGGGCCACUGGUCUUUAGCAGGUUUCCUGUCUUAGUUAGUCCUGUGGUCUCACUUUUGACCGCCGGGAGAUGGCAGAGUGUUUCAGGUGUCAGAUGAUGUCAUUCUGCAUAUGGCUACGUAGGGGUGCAGGCCACUUCCGCGCUUUGCAGAAACCAGGAUUUGCCCACGUUAUUCCGGGGAUGGUAAUGUGGAUGUGGUAAGGGGUAAUUGACAUUUGUGGGGAGUGCAGGUUUGUACCUCAGGCAGCAUAAAGCUGUGUCUGCUACACCUCUCCUGGAAAUGGCCAUCUCCCCUCUCCAUGCCUUGUUCUUAGGCUGUUGACUUCGGCUCUUUGGUGGGGGAGGGGCGGGGGCAGGCACAGGACUGUCUGAUGGAGCUGGCUCGUGGCUUCUCAAACUUUAUACUCCGAGGGGAAGUUUCCAGAGACUGUGGAGGCCUUGGGGAAUGUAUGGAUGCCCAGAGCACUGGCAUCUGGGAGCAGGUGGGUAGUCAGAAGGCGGUACCCUGAGGCGGCAGGGUGGGGAAAAACAGGAGGAAACCUCAGGCCAGACGCGGUAGUGUGUGUCUGGAAUCCCAGCACUGGGGAAAGAGACCUAAGGCAGUAGGAUUAAGAGUUCAAGGCCAGCCUGGUUUAUAGAGUGAGGCCCUUCCUUGAAAACUCCCUUUCAAGUGUCCGUUUGUGAUAGAUACAUCCGAGGUUCACACAUGCUGCGCCCUACCACCCCCCUCAAACAGCUGCUGUGGGCCAGCAUUUUCUUUGCCAUCCUCUGUUCAGGCGCUUUACGUACCUCAGCACCAGGCCGUUUAGAGGUAAUCAAUUGGCCCAGAGACAUUGUGACAGUCCAGGUCACAGGCAGUAAGUACUACACUGGAAUUGGAAUUUAGCCUCCUGACGUACCCUUUCCCAUGCUGCCUGGCUCCUCCCCCAGGUUACAGGGAAUCAGUUUGAAGCCAGUGAUAGUGCCUACAUGUUUAAUCACCUCUCCAGUGGUCUAUGCGCCUGACCUCCUGCCUUCUGGUCUUUCAUUAGCCCGUUGACAGAGGUUGGACAGUGGGCAAGCUACAGUUAACCUUUGCAAGGACCAGUCUGUGGCUGAGAAUAGAUGGCCUGAGCAGACAGUGGUGUAGGCAGGCCGCUUGCCUCAGCCCCUGUGGCCUGAUGUGUUGAGCCGGCUAACUUCCCUAGUCAUAGUCAUGUCCAUACCUGUCUGAGGUGCUACGCCAUGGCCUUUGCUGUGACUCGCUGAGAACUGACUUGGUCACGAGGGAAGGCCCUUCUCAGACACAGCCAUUGCGGCCUAUCAAGAUGGACGGGUUGCUCUGCCAGUGUGCACACUGUUGACCAACAACCACACCUGUACGGUUUCAUCCUGUGGAGGUUUGCUCAGACAACAUCUGUUCUUUUCGUUACCUCCUUCAUGUCCACCCUCACCCUCCACCCCCUCACCUCUCGGGGUUUCCUUGCUUCUCCAUCUGUCUCUACCAUUGUCCUUUAUUCCUUUCAUCUCCAUCUAUUGUCAGUCUCCCCCUUUUAAAAUGAAUCUACAUAUGACACCCAAAUUCUCAAUAAAGAGACUGGAAACAAC